rnacentral:rRNA from 1 species
UACAGAGGUCCCGAGCGUUGUUCGGAUUCAUUGGGCGUAAAGGGUGCGUAGGCGGCUUCCUAAGUUUGAUGUGAAAUCCUGGGGCUCAACCCUGGAACUGCAUUGAAUACUGGGAGGCUAGAGUACUGGAGAGGAAACUGGAAUUUACGGUGUAGCAGGUGAAAUGCGUAGAGAUCGUAAGGAAGACCAGUGGCGAAGGCGAGUUUCUGGACAGUUACUGACGCUGAGGCACGAAGGCCAGGGGAGCAAACGGG